rnacentral:rRNA from 1 species
AUCUAUGGCCAUACCACCUUGAAUGCACCUGAUCUCAUCUGAUCUCGGAAGCUAAGCAGGGUCGGGCCUGGUUAGUGCUUGGAUGGGAGACCGCCUGGGAAUACCAGGUGCUGUAGGCU